UAGAGCACACGCCUGAUAAGCGUGAGGUCGGUGGUUCAAGUCCAUUUAGGCCCACCAUAACCACAAAUAGGCAAAAU
rnacentral:tRNA from 1 species